rnacentral:rRNA from 1 species
CAGCCGCCGCGGUAAUACGUAGGGUGCGAGCGUUAAUCGGAAUUACUGGGCGUAAAGCGUGCGCAGGCGGUUCGUUAAGACAGAUGUGAAAUCCCCGGGCUUAACCUGGGAACUGCAUUUGUGACUGGCGAGCUAGAGUAUGGCAGAGGGGGGUAGAAUUCCACGUGUAGCAGUGAAAUGCGUAGAGAUGUGGAGGAAUACCGAUGGCGAAGGCAGCCCCCUGGGCCAAUACUGACGCUCAUGCACGAAAGCGUGGGAAGCAAACAGGAUUAGAUACCCCCGUAGUCCCUGUCUCUUAUAC